rnacentral:rRNA from 1 species
CGCGUAGGCGGCCUGUUAAGUCGAACGUGAAAUCCCCGGGCUCAACCCGGGAACUGCGUCCGAUACUGGCAGGCUUGAAUUCGGGAGAGGGAUGUGGAAUUCCAGGUGUAGCGGUGAAAUGCGUAGAUAUCUGGAGGAACACCGGUGGCGAAGGCGGCAUCCUGGACCGAGAUUGACGCUGAUGCGCGAAAGCCAGGGGAGCAAACG